GUGCACAUCUCACUGACUUGUUCUCUUUUGUAUAUGUGAACAGUGCUAAUUUUUAUGUGCCAUACAAGUAGUCGGAGGUUAAUUAGCAGUAUAACUGUAAAUAGUAAGUCUCCUUUAGACAAAA
rnacentral:snoRNA from 1 species